CAGCCGCCGCGGUAAUACAUAGGGUGCAAGCGUUAAUCGGAAUUACUGGGCGUAAAGCGCGCGUAGGUGGUUUGUUAAGUUGGAUGUGAAAUCCCCUGGCUCAACCUGGGAACUGCAUCCAAAACUGGCAAGCUAGAGUAUGGUAGAGGGUGGUGGAAUUUCCUGUGUAGCGGUGAAAUGCGUAGAUAUAGGAAGGAACACCAGUGGCGAAGGCGACCACCUGGACUGAUACUGACACUGAGGUGCGAAAGCGUGGGGAGCAAACAGGAUUAGAUACCCCGGUAGUCCCUGUCUCUUAUAC
rnacentral:rRNA from 1 species